rnacentral:rRNA from 1 species
UACAGAGGGUGCAAGCGUUGUUCGGAAUUAUUGGGCGUAAAGCGCGUGUAGGCGGCCUUGCAAGUCGGGUGUGAAAGCCCUCAGCUCAACUGAGGAAGCGCGCCCGAAACUGCAGAGCUUGAGUACCGGAGAGGAUGGCGGAAUUCCCCAAGUAGAGGUGAAAUUCGUAGAUAUGGGGUGGAACACCGGUGGCGAAGGCGGCCAUCUGGACGGAUACUGACGCUGAGACGCGAAAGCGUGGGGAGCAAACAGG